GAACAAGACAGUGAAGGAAUAGGUCAGUGAUUACUGCAGGCUGGGAGCAAGGGAGGAAAAUUACUGCAAAAAGGCAAAAAGGAACAUGGCCAGCCUAAUCAGCAAGUUCCUGGUUCAGCAAGAGACCCUGUCUCUAAAAGCAAAGUGGAAAUUGACUGAGGAAGACAUCUGUUGCUGACCUCUGUCCUCCAUAUGCACGCAUACACACAUGUAUGUGCAUUCCCCUACACAUAUAUGAACCCUUGCCUCCCCUCCCCCAUAAACGAUUAAGAAGGAGAUAGGACAUGAACGUGGACCUCUUCUAAAGUGGACACAAGACAGGAUCCAAGAAUCGUAAGCAUUAGACUGAAGGUGCCGUGUAAACUCGUUGUUGGUUUCUAUAAUCACACACAAAUCACAA
rnacentral:lncRNA from 1 species